rnacentral:lncRNA from 1 species
AGCCGUACAUCGUAUUAAUCGUGCAAAGUAGACGCCCCCUGGUGGACGUCGUAUUCCACCAAAUAAUUCCUGCAGAAUUAUCAAAACAAAUUAGUAUGAUGAUAAACAGGGUCGAUCCCACAGAGAGCAGGUAAAAUCAUUCAAUUCCCUAAAAUCUAUAAUUUUGGUGAUGCCACCACGCCUUAAUUUUAAGAAGAAUUAAUUAAAACUAAAACUGCAAAAUUAAUCAAAUAAAAGACUCUUGAAUUAAAUCAAUUAAAAAGAUAAUUCGGCUCAAAUAAAUCCACACUAAUUUAAAGCUCUGAUCAUCGACGCAAUAAUUAAUUAAUCUCAAUCAACCAACCAGUUAUAGGAUACCGUGAAACGCAACGGACGUACCCCAAUUCCUACUUACUGUGUCGAUAAACAGCUGGAGACGCCAGACCUGCUUAUUUCCCUUAUUAAAAUAUAACCUAGCUGGAGACGCCAGACCUAGAUUUAAUAUUCUAAUAGCAUUAAGAUGAAGGAACCCAGUUUAUAUCAAUUAUCCUAGAUACGCUAGUAAUAAUUAAUAUACCAAUUAAUUCCUACUACGAACACGGUAGUUUUAUCACUAAUCAGCCCUAUUCCAAUAAUUACGGAUUGGAGGUGCUAAUUGACUGUAAUCCAAUUAAACCUAAGUUGGUCAGACUUAAAUAAAAUCAGAAUUAUCUCUAAACUCUAGGAAUUAAUCGAAAUCAAUAGGAACCAAUUUUAUGCUCAAUUAGAUCUCACAGAUUAAUAAAUUAAUGCUUCAUUAUUCUCGCCGAAUUAAAGAAUUAGCUACUCAUAAUUAAAACUAGAACAAUCAAAUAAAUAAAAGCAAACAUAAAAACAAUCGAAAUAAAUUGCAAGUAAAUUAAAGACACCACUUGAACAAAGAAUUGUCGCCUGCCCAAAUACUUGAUGCAGCCGCCAAUUACCCAAGCAACAAAAGCAAGUAAUUGUAAAAUCCUAAAGCUAAUGGAAUUGUAUAAUGCCAAAAUAAAAAACUAAGCAAAUAAAUAACGUGUAGUGCUAUAAUUGAAAAGGAAUCAAAAAGGUGUUCUCCAAAACCAAGUCAAACUCGUCUCUCUCCAAUCUCAAAUUGCGGCUAUUCUCUCUAAAACAAAGAUGACAACCUAAUUAAAUCCUAACCUCUAUCUAAUAUAUAUGUGCGGUUAUAUGUAAAAACUAGUUCAAUGGGAAUUAGAAUCCCUUAAGUAGCCGACUCUAUCUAACAAUAUGGGCUUCGGCCCCUUUAAUAAAACACAACCCAAAAUAAUUAAAGGGUAAUUUUAAACAUAGCCCCCAAUUUUCUCCUUAUAGCCUCUUAUUAAAAAUAAUAAUAAAAAUAAUUACGAUUGUACUAAUAUACCCUUAUAACUUCAUUUAAAAAUUAUAAUAAAAAAAUAAAUUUAUAAAAAAUAAUUUUCAAACACUCUAGCGUACAAUCUCAAAUUUUUCAUAACCCCAACUCAAAUAAUUCCAACUUAUUUUUGUAGCCCCAUUAAAAAUUUAAGAACAUGAAUGAGAAUAAUGGAGAAGAACAUAAAUACUUUUGUAGCCCCUCCCUGGCCGCCAUCCGCUCGUCGGCACGUCGGAGCCGCUCAUGGGCCUCAAACCCAAGGGCGAGUGGACCGCCGCCAAAUUCUCCGCACCAAAAAGGGCUUUCGUGGGAUACCGGGCGUGACGCCGUCGAAUCGCUGAGGAUUUUGAAGUCGGUGCCCUUGGAUUUUGAUCAGUGUACGCCGGUGAAGGGCAGGCCGCCGAGUGCGGUGAAAUUCUCUGGGAAUUUUCCGAUGUCGCCGGCGAUCAGAGGGCGGGAGAUGAGGGAUGGGAGCGCCGUCAGGUCCUCGGCCGGCGGCACUCUCCUAUCGAAAAUGAUGGAGACACCAAUGAUGAGGAAGAGUUGCGUCAUCACGCCCUCUGCGUAUAAUACUCUCGAAGCAGAAGGUGAAGCCGAC